rnacentral:rRNA from 1 species
AGAGUUUGAUCCUGGCUCAGAAUCAACGCUGGCGGCGUGCCUCAGACAUGCAAGUCGUACGAUUAAAGCUCUCUUCGGAGAGUGUAUAGAGUGGCGCACGGGUGAGUAACACGUAAGUAAUCUACCUUCGAGUGGGGAAUAACAGUCGGAAACGACUGCUAAUACCGCAUAAUGCAGCGGCACCUAAUGGUGACAGUUGUUAAAGCAUUUAUGUGCUUGAAGAGGAGCUUGCGGCAGAUUAGCUAGUUGGUAAGGUAAUGGCUUACCAAGGCAACGAUCUGUAGCCGACCUGAGAGGGUGGUCGGUCACACUGACACUGAAUAACGGGUCAGACUCCUACGGGAGGCAGCAGUCGGGAAUUUUGGGCAAUGGGCGAAAGCCUGACCCAGCAACGCCGCGUGAAGGAUGAAGUAUUUCGGUAUGUAAACUUCGUAAGAAUGGGAAGAAUAAAUGACGGUACCAUUUGUAAGGUCCGGCUAACUACGUGCCAGCAGCCGCGGUAAUACGUAGGGACCAAGCGUUGUUCGGAUUUACUGGGCGUAAAGGGCGCGUAGGCGGCAGUUCAAGUCAUCUGUGAAAUCUCCGAGCUUAACUCGGAACGGUCAGAUGAUACUGUUUUGCUAGAGUGCAGAAGGGGCAAUCGGAAUUCUUGGUGUAGCGGUGAAAUGCGUAGAUAUCAAGAGGAACACCUGAGGUGAAGACGGGUUGCUGGGCUGACACUGACGCUGAGGCGCGAAAGCUAGGGUAGCAAACGGGAUUAGAUACCCUGGUAGUCC